CCCCACUGAAUAUGGGCAAAAAGACACAUUGUUUGUGAUGUUGUUCUUCUGUCAGUCAGGGGCUGAGCAGAUGGUAGUCUUUUGUUCAUCCUAGCUUGAUGCCUGGCUUGGUGGCCAAAACUAUUUUAUGCCUAGGACACAUAA
rfam:Mus musculus chromosome 5, GRC primary reference assembly.